UGCCAUUCUUAACUCUUCGGGCUGGGGAGCUGGUGGACGAUGGCCUGUGGCGGAGGGAGGAGCAGGAUGGGGAUCCAGUCAAGACACAUUCUCCAGGAGCCGCCUGAGCCAAGAAGCCACCUGCGUGGCUGAGACCCCUGGGGUGGUUCAUUUAUCUGAAGUCUCCAUAGGAAAGGUGGCCCCCUUGGUUCUGGAGAGCAGAGAAUUGCCCUCUGUGGAUGGGAUGGUGUGGAACUCCCUAGGCUCAGGGGUGCUCUGUCUGCCCUGCCACAGCCCCUCCAUGAGGGACAUCCCGGCAUUUGCUGGUUUGUGGGGGGGACCACACCAAGAGGAAGGGGCUCAGGCUGUCAGUGCCCGGCCUCUAGGUGUCAGCGACCUUCUACUCUCCUCCCCUCCCCCCUGAAUCAGCCCCCAGCCCCUCCUGAGUGGAGCCCCAUCUUCCCAGCCCGGCCCAUUAGAGCCUGAACCCCCCUUCCCAAGACAUUCAUCCUGGAGAGGGUACAGUCCCUUGGUGCGGCCUUUGUCUCCUCCAGGGUGUCUGCCCCUCCCAGCAUCCUGGGCCUGGCCUCUACCUGGGGGAAUCUGGGUCUCAGAAGCUGAACCUCAGGCUCCUCCUCGCUGGCCAUGUGCACAUCACACCCACAUCCUGCCCCACCGAGCCGUGUACACCUCAGUGUGCACAAUCCAUGCACUGA